rnacentral:lncRNA from 10 species
GGCUCGACCUCAGCUCACUACAACCUCUGCCUCCUGGGCUCAAUCAAUCUUCCCACAUCAGCCUCGUAGGAUAUCUCUCUGUCGGCUAGGCUGGAGUGUAGUGGUGUGAUCAUCAUGGCUCACUGUGGCCUCAAACUCCUACUAUGGACAGGAGACAGGGAAAUACUGGGUAGAAGAGGACAGUUCCCCAGCAAAGGCCCCACCCUCAAGCCUGGAUACCCAUGGCCCUAAAUGGGAACAGGCAUUUCUGUUUUUGCACCCCAAAAGUUGACUUUUGGCCCACAUGCUCCCUAUCCUGUACCCAUAUAAACCCCAAAUUCCAGGCUCCAGAGAGAGACAAGGAGAUGAGGAGACAAGCAGACGAACAGCGGAACAAUGCAGCAGAGAAAGAGAGAAGAGAAGGAACGUCUGAACGUCGAGAGGAGUUCGGCUGCUGGACGGCCAAACUCCAGGGGAAGAUCAUCUUCCCACUCCAUUCCCCCUCCAGCUCCCCAUCCAUCCCACUGAGAGCCACUUCCACCACUCAAUAAAAGCCCCACAUUUAUCCUUCAAGUCCAUGUGUGAUCCAAUUCUUCUGGGAUGCUAAACAAGAACCUGGGAUACAGAAAGCUGUCACACUGGCCCUCUGCCCUUGCAGAAAGGCAGAGGGGCCCUGAGCUGGUUGAUACUUAAGCUGUCUGUGGAUGGCAGAACUAAAAGAGCAUUGG